UGGGGAAUAUUGCACAAUGGGCGAAAGCCUGAUGCAGCAACGCCGCGUGAGCGAUGAAGGCCUUCGGGUCGUAAAGCUCUGUCCUCAAGGAAGAUAAUGACGGUACUUGAGGAGGAAGCCCCGGCUAACUACGUGCCAGCAGCCGCGGUAAUACGUAGGGGGCUAGCGUUAUCCGGAAUUACUGGGCGUAAAGGGUGCGUAGGUGGUUUCUUAAGUCAGAGGUGAAAGGCUACGGCUCAACCGUAGUAAGCCUUUGAAACUGGGAAACUUGAGUGCAGGAGAGGAGAGUGGAAUUCCUAGUGUAGCGGUGAAAUGCGUAGAUAUUAGGAGGAACACCGGUGGCGAAGGCGGCCUUCUGGGCCAUCACUGACGCUGAGGCGCGAAAGCUAGGGGAGCAAACAGGAUUAGAUACCC
rnacentral:rRNA from 1 species